rnacentral:rRNA from 1 species
AUGAUCUCCUCCAGUACGGGAAGCACUUCAAUGAUUUUAUCGGUGCUUGUCCGGAUGCAUUUGCCGGCCUUAGGUGCCUCGAUCUGGCUGCGCAAUAUGAAGUUUGGUGAACUAGACAUCCCCAACAUUCUCAGCACUUGCAAGCUAUUGGAGUCUUUGCGUUUGACCCAUUGCGACUCAGGGAUCCAUUCUGUGCUGCAAGUAGAGCAUGCUCGACUUAUUGAGCUCGAGGUUGACAAUGGGAAAUUUGAGAGAGUUGAGCUGACAUGUCUGCCAAAACUCCAACAGGUGACCUAUAAUAAUUGGUUCUCUUAUGAAGAUCCCAUGUAUUUUGGUUUUGUGCCACAACUUUCAAAACUGAGCCUUAUUAAAACUGGCUCCCGUUUUCAAAAGACCCUUGAGUUAAGUCAGUUCCUUGUUAAUGUUCCUUCCAUAAGCGAUCUCCAUCUGGAUUUUAGAAGUGAAAAUAUUUGGGUUAUCCCAGAAAGCCCGGAACUGCUCACCCCUGUGCUCGGCAAACUACAACUUGUGAAUCUGGAUCAUCUUCCUGAAGGAUGUGAUUUACCUUGGACAAUGUUUAUUCUUGAAGCUGCACACUCCCUCAAAGAGCUGUGCAUCACAGUAUGGGAUCAUUGCUGCAUAAUGUUCACAGGCACAGAGUUCCGGAAGGAAAAUGGUUUGUGCGACAAGGCAGACCUGAAGUGGAAGCCUUAUACCGCUGGUUUCAAGCACAAGAAUCUGGUUAAGCUCACCAUCUAUGGCUUCCAGCCCGACGACAACUUUGUGCGACAUGUACGACAUUAUAAGUUUAUCUAG